rnacentral:rRNA from 1 species
CCUACGGGCGGCAGCAGUCGAGAAUCAUUCACAAUGGGGGAAACCCUGAUGGUGCGACGCCGCGUGGGGGAAUGAAGUUCUUCGGAUUGUAAACCCCUGUCAUGUGGGAGCAAAUUAAAAAGAUAGUACCACACUAGGAAGAGACUGCUAACUCUGUGCCAGCAGCCGCGGUAAUACAGAGGUCUCAAGCGUUGUUCGGAAUCACUGGGCGUAAAGCGUGCGUAGGCUGUUUCGUAAGUCGUGUGUGAAAGGCGCGGGCUCAACCAGCGGACGGCACAUGAUACUGCGAGACUGGAGUAAGUGAGGGGGAACCGGAAUUCUCGGUGUAGGAGUGAAAUGCGUAGAUAUCGAGAGGAACAUUCGUGGCGAAGGCGAGUUCCUGGAAAAUAACUGACGCUGAGGAACGAAGGCCAGGGGAGCGAAAGGGAUUAGAUACCCUUGUAGUC